CUUUCGUCGUAAUGAGCCCGUAUUUAAAAUGGUCCACGCAGCUCUUUUACCGUCGGGCUCCUUUUCGGCAGCCUUUGCCAGUUCAGGAGGGCAGUCUGGGCCCAGCACAGGGAGCUCACGUCUCGGCGUGUGUCGCCUCCAUGAGGCCGGAUAACCCCACCGGCUAGGGGGGGGGAGCGGGGCCGUGCCCCGAGCCAGCAGCUUCCGUUGCCAGAGUAAGUUGCUUUUGUUUCUCUUUAGGAUCGCCACG